UUUUUCAGACUUAGGUAUGAAGCUUUAUUGCAAAGUUUUGUCGCCACAAUCAGCAGAAGUGGAGCUGGAAGUAAACAGUGAAUGUGCAGUCAUUGAUCUGAUAGUUUUGAUGAAAGAAAAGUUGCCUUGGUUGCCAUCAGACUUCAAAAUUUUGCACAAAGGGAAAACUAUAAAAACCGAAGAUAGACUGUCGGAUACAAAGAUAUCAGAUGGCGAUAAGUUAGUGCUAAUGAUUCCCAAGGAAUCUGGUUUACUUAACCAGGAGAAAAUCUACCCUCUUGAAAACGAUCCUGAGAAGCUACUUUAUGCUAAUUUGCGAGCAAUUUGUCAGAAACAUUUAACCGAGCCUGCUGUCAACGAAUUUCUUCGUCAGUUUCAUCAGUUAUACAAAGAAUCAAUCAACUCACUCAGCCCAGACGACAUCGAAAGAAUAUGCUCCUAUCAGUUAAUGGAAGAUUGAACUUAGUUAACAUAUUUAUUUGAAAUUAUAUUGGGUGCUUUUGUUAGAUGUGUGCUGCGGCUUAGACCAGAAUAGUUUGUUUUAAAAAUCAGUUUCGUUUAAUGUAGACAUAUUUGUGCAACACAGGUAGUUAUAAGUUCAUGGAUGCUUUUUUGGAAAGAAAAAAUACUUUGAGAAUGUG